rnacentral:rRNA from 1 species
GUAGGGAAUAUUGCGCAAUGGACGAAAGUCUGACGCAGCGACGCCGCGUGAGUGAUGAAGGCCUUAGGGUCGUAAAGCUCUGUUGAAUGGGAAGAAAAAAAUGACGGUACCAUUCGAGGAAGGACCGGCUAACUUCGUGCCAGCAGCCGCGGUAAUACGAGGGGUCCUAGCGUUGUUCGGAAUCAUUGGGCGUAAAGGGUGUGUAGGUGGCCAUGUAAGUCAGGUGUGAAAGCCCCGGGCUCAACCCGGGAAGUGCACUUGUUACUGCGUGGCUUGAGUACCGAAGAGGGUAGUGGAAUUCCAGGUGUAGUGGUGAAAUACGUAGAUAUCUGGAGGAACACCGGUGGCGAAGGCGGCUACCUGGUCGAGUACUGACACUGAGGCACGAAAGCAUGGGGAUCAAACAGGAUUAGAUACCCGGGUAGUCC